rnacentral:rRNA from 1 species
GACGAACGCUGGCGGCGUGCUUAACACAUGCAAGUCGAACGGAAAGGCCCAGCUUGCUGGGUGCUCGAGUGGCGAACGGGUGAGUAACACGUGGGUGAUCUGCCCCUAACUUCGGGAUAAGCUUGGGAAACUGGGUCUAAUACCGGAUAGGACAAUCGUUUAGUGUCGGUUGUGGAAAGUUUUUUCGGUUAGGGAUGAGCCCGCGGCCUAUCAUCUUGUUGGUGGGGUAAUGGCCUACCAAGGAGUCGACGGGUAGCCGGCCUGAGAGGGUGGACGGCCACAUUGGGACUGAGAUACGGCCCAGACUCCUACGGGAGGCAGCAGUGGGGAAUAUUGCACAAUGGGCGCAAGCCUGAUGCAGUGACGCCGCGUGGGGGAUGACGGCCUUCGGGUUGUAUACCUCUUUCGACAGGGACGAAGCUUUGGUGACGGUACCUGUACAAGAAGCACCGGCUAACUACGUGCCAGCCGCCGCGGUAAGAC